AAUCAAGCGCGAAAGGGCAUUUGGUGGAUGCCUUGGCAUGCACAGGCGAUGAAG
rnacentral:rRNA from 1 species